UCCCUGGUAGUCUAGAGGUUAGGACUCAGCACUUUCACGGCUGAGACCCAGGUUCAAUCCCUGGUCUGGGAA